CGAUAAACAAGUUGUAAAAAAAGACCCGAGUCAGCAAUGUCACAACGACGGAGCCCGUUUGUGCGUCCGCUUCCUGUCAAUGUGACCCGACCCGUUCUGAUGAAGCUUACCAAGCAAGUGCCAGCGUUUGAUAGUGCACGUACAGCCACGUACAAGCAGAGCCGGAUCACCUGCAGCGCGUCGGUUCGGUUGGACACAAAUGGACGUGAGCGGUGGGCCGCCAACAACGACAAAGACACCAAAGACAACAAAGACAGCAAAGACAACAAAGACAACAAAGACACCAAAGACACCAAAGACACCAAAGACAACAAAGACACCAAUGACACCAAAGACACCAAAGACAACAAAGACAACAAAGACACCAAAGACACCAAAGACAACAAAGACACCAAAGACAACAAAGACAACAAAGACACCAAAGACAACAAAGACAACAAAGACACCAAAGACAACAAAGACAACAAAGACACCAAAGACACCAAAGACACCAAAGACAACAAAGACACCAAUGACACCAAAGACACCAAAGACACCAAAGACAACAAAGACAACAAAGACACCAAAGACACCAAAGACAAGAGGGCGUCUGGCGGAUGCUACAAGCCUUUACCUUCGGCAGCAUCUCCGGUGCCUUGAGCACUUCCUGUCCGGUUCUUCCCGCCCAGGAACUGGAGAAAAAUCAAGCAGGGCUGAAAGUGUCCGACUUCUAGAGUGUCUCCAUGAGGAAGUGAAGGUUGAUUCGAGCUGGUGUUCGGCGGCCUGCAGACGUGUCACCGUGUCUCCGAGGCUCUCGAGUAACAUCGGGACUCUGAUCCCACCUGUAAAACCGGCGCCACUAAGGCACCAGCCUGGUGGGAGCUUUGUGUUCCAAACCCCAUCAAACAACAUCCGUGUGGGAAUCUUGGAAAAUGUCAGUCAUCACAACCAAGCCAAGGUCUGAGCCCUGGUUGCCAUGGUUACCGUUCACGUAUCAGCCUCUGCCUUUUAUGAAAUACAGAUUAAACUGAAGCAAAAGUCAGCAGCGACCUGAAGGAUCUGUAGUGGGAUCCAGAUCCAGAGACCCCCUGAGAAGGUUGGCGUGAGGCUCCACCACCUGGAGCCGCCUGGCACCGGAACGCCGAAGUGAUAAUUAAUUCGGAUUACCAAAGCUGAGAGCGGCACUUUGGCAAGAGGCGGCUGAGGCGGUGGGGGUGCCGAGUUGAGAAGGGAUAAUUGAGACGUAAUGAGGAAGACGGAGAUGGAAGCGGUGGGUGGACCGCUGAACGGAGACUAAUGGGAUUGUUGUGUGAGCGGCGGGAGGCGGGUGGGAGGCGGGUGGGAGGCGGGCUCGCCUUGGCAGCGGCGUCGGAGCGUCCAACAACCGCCACUCUGCGGCCUCACGCCUCAUAAAUAUUGAGAGCGGUACUGGACCAGGCCAUAUGGUCGGGGAGUAGCGCUCGCCCGCUGAUGGUGGGGGCCGAGAAAAGUUAGGAAAACGUCUCCCCUCGCCACCACGUCCAGUUACUGAGACUCAUGUGGAGUUCCGACUGGAGGGAGGAAAGGCCUCAGAACCCAGAACCUGAGCCGGUACAAAGCGGCGCCAUUAAGAGGCUCUGAGCAAACAUCAUGGAGCGGCAGAGCAAGUGGACCCCCGGCAGAACGGCACCGGCAGGUUCUCAACACCUUAAUUAUUGGUUCUGAAGGGAAAUGAGACUUUUCUAGUUGUUUAGCUUGAGCUAACCAACCCCCCCGUCCCCCGGAAAACAAUGGGGAUUAAACCGUUAGGUACGUACGAUAUUUUGUGCGUGAUAUUUCUCAGGGUAAUCUUUUAUCCGGCCGCCUUUACAGUUUUAUUUCUGUGUUGAGGUUAGACAGACCCACAGAUCCAACGCAUUACCGCCUUGGCCUUGGCCACCUUUUCCAGCCCGAGAUGGAAUCUGCAGUCAUGCUGAAUGAUGCUCUGCGACCUCCUGCGCGUAGCUUUGGGACGUCACGUCUCUGGAAUACUGCGUUUACUAGCAUGAGACAGCUGCUAGCAAAUUAGCUUUUGAAGAGGAUUUCUGAUUGAGUUGAGAAUGCUGAGUAGUGUUGUUAGGGUUAGGGUUAGGGUUAGGGUUAGGGUUAGGGUUAGGGUUACACACAAGAUGUGUGUGUUGGGUCCCUGCAGCCCCACAGGAGGACAGCAGCCUGGAACAGGACGUUCCACUUUAACCCUGGACAGAAGAAAAGGGGACAGAGACGCAGAGAUGGGACGAAUCCAGCGCCGAUAAGGACAGAGGAAAAGAGAGUAAACUAAAGACAGGAAGUCUCAGCCUGGGUGUUCUAGAGACCCUCGCAGUAUUAUUAGUCAGUAAAUAUUGUGAGUCCUGGUUCAAAUCCCCGAGGGACCAUUACGAGUUCUCCCUGGGUAUUCCAGUUCCCUCCAACUGUCCACAGACCUGCUUUUGGGGGACAGGUGUGUACCCCACCUGUUGUCCCAGGACAGCUGGGAUGUGCAGACACAGGAACAACCCGACUGGAGGAGGCCCUGGUCCCUAGGGGAUUUGAAUCGGAAGCCUCGCUGUGAGACGACAGUGCUAACUACUGCACUCAGGAAUAUAGCAAAAACUAGAGCUCUAGCCCUCCGUGUUAGCUUGGCCUAUUAAAGCCCCCCCAUAAAGGGGCCCCGGUGAAAGACCCCCCAGAUGGUUUUCUAUGGCAGAAAGUCGGAACCUUCUCCUGCCUCCAGCACUUCCAGCAGACCUAGUUUUAUCCAGUCUGGGGCUACAUAUACCUGGCGUGUCCCAGGUGUCCUUCCAUCAAAGAGUGACUCCCGAGUUUGGAAACAACGGCGCUUUUGUUCCUGUGUCCUAAAGUCCGGCCUGAAAUGCAGCCGUUUCAUCUGGGGACGCAGCAAUCGGCCCCCGUCUCUUUCCAGGUGUCACAAAUGAUCCCGUGUGGCUGAUGCUGACCUUGAGAGUGGAGGCGUGGAGCGGCAGGGGGGCCGGACAGGUGUGGAAACCUCGGCCGUGAACAGACGGAGCCCAUCCUCCACGGGCGCUGACCCCAUGGCCCCGGCUGUCUCCAGCACCUCCGCGAGCCUUUAAACGAGCAUGCACAUGGCGGCGGUGCGUCUGCAGCACAGUCGGCCGCUGUGGGACAAUAGGAGGCCGGGAAUGGAUCAGCUUGUUGUGUUCUGCCUCCGUCACCGUUUCUGAAAGACACCGGCGCCUCUGCAGCAUCAACCCGCUACAAUUAUAGCUGCUAUUUCCAGCUGAAGAGGGAAAGUUUGUAUCUGCAACUGGCUGCUUAGGGAAAAGUAUGAUUGUACACUUAUGGUUGUAUUAUUAUUGUUAUUAUCAUUUUAAUAAAAAGAGCAUAUAAAGAACAGCUGAACGGCAAAAGUCAAGGCCCCACACAUAUUGAGCGGUGUUCUGUUAGCGGCUGCUAGCAGGCGGUGGCUGGGUCCCUGCACGUGUUACUGCCCCUGUGGGGGCAAUAAUCUCUGAAGCUGAGCUCAGAUUAGAAAAAAUAAUUAAAAAAAACUACCCUCUAUACACCAACAUGGGCGUCCGAAGCUUUUUACUCCAAACGAUCUCAAAGACUUUUAAUUAGGAAUUGUAACGUAAAUAUAAUGCGACAUAAGCAAACCUUCAGUUUUGUCUCUGUAAAUAUGCUUAAAUUUUACUUUUCUUAAUCUCACCUGCUGAAAGUGAACAUUUCCGUCCCAGAACAUCACUGAAAUCCCCCAUUUGGAGCUGAAAUCCCGAGUUCUCUGACAGGGAGCCCUCAGCCGCAGGUGUGUCACACUAAAUAGCAGAUGGCAACAGGCGGCGUCAGCUAACGCUGGUGUGUGUGGCCGUUCAGGAACCGUGACUAAAUAACACACACCUGGUGCCGCUGGUCGUUUACGGAGAUGACGUUGACUCAUGGAAGUGUUGUGACUCUUCAGCCAUAUCAGCGCCGCUGCCGUUAGCCGCCAGCUGAACAACAGCUAUUAGCGGCACUUAAAGGAACGUCAGCGGCUCUAAGAAUGAGUAAUGGGCCGGGGGGGUGCAGGUGUGCGCUCGAUUCGCACACCUUCUCUCCUAGUUCUGCUGCAGGUUCUGUCUCCUGGAGCAGGAGGGUCAGAUGGUCGGUGGGAAGCCGCAUUAGCAAAUCACUUUACUAGCGUAGCAUCAGGCAGUCGGGGAAGCAGCGUAAUCAGGUUUGAAAUGUCCCCAGAAAAAAGAAUCAUAGUGGGUGAAUCAAGGACAUUAAAGCGGGCCAAGUGGACCUGGACCUGGACCUGAACAUCUGUGGACUCACUGAAGGGGCAGGGGCAAUAAAACCGGUCCGGGGAAAAACAUCUAACAGGAUGUUUGAAAUUAAAUAAACGCCUCCCCCAGGUGGCAAUAAAACCACGUUCGUGUUGUUGUUGACACCAGAAACCGACGUUUCAGAUGCAGCUUCCAGACAACAUGAUGUCAUCGGCUGGUAGCCAGAGUUCUGCUGCCUGUCUGAGCCCCAGCAGCUCAUUUAAACUGGACCAAGACCAGGAACCAACCUUCCACCUUCU
ensembl:lncRNA